rnacentral:ribozyme from 1 species
UCAAUAUCAAAAAAAAAAAAAAAAAAAAAAACGAAUGCCACACAAAACAAAAGAAAUGAACGGCGUAUCAAAGCCGAAUAUAUUUUUUUUUUUUGCCUUUCAAAUGAGAGAAAGUACCCCUUCUCUUUAGUUCUCUUUGUCCCAUGUAUCGAUGAUUUUCAAAAAA